GCCAACCGGGCGAUCGCGUUGUCGAGCCUCGGCUUCGUGCGCCGGGAACGCGGCGACGUCGCGGCGGCGGUGCGGACCCUGCGGUCGGCG
rnacentral:tRNA from 1 species